rnacentral:rRNA from 1 species
GAUGAACGCUGGCGGCGUGCCUAAUACAUGCAAGUCGAGCGAACGGACGAGAAGCUUGCUUCUCUGCUGUUAGCGGCGGACGGGUGAGUAACACGUGGAUACCCUACCUAUAAGACUGGGAUAACUUCGGGAAACCUGAUCUAAUACCGGAUAAUAUUUUGAACCGCAUGGUUCAAAAGUAAAAGACGGUCUUGCUGUCACUUAUAGAUGGAACCGCGCUGCAUUAGCUAGUUGGUAAGGUAACGGCUUACCAAGGCAACGAUGCAUAGCCGACCUGAGAGGGUGAUCGGCCACACUGGAACUGAGACACGGUCCAGACUCCUACGGGAGGCAGCAGUAGGGAAUCUUCCGCAAUGGGCGAAAGCCUGACGGAGCAACGCCGCGUGAGUGAUGAAGGUCUUCGGAUCGUAAAACUCUGUUAUUAGGGAAGAACAUAUGUGUAAGUAACUGUGCACAUCUUGACGGUACCUAAUCAGAAAGCCACGGCUAACUACGUG